rnacentral:misc_RNA from 1 species
AUCUCUUAUUGAAUACUUAACGUAAAUUUACCAAACAGCGAGAUAAACCCCUGACUUCCCUAUACUUAUCAAUUCGAGCUCAGUGCUCUUAUUGACUCUAAUUAUUAAUUGAGUUGGUAUUAAGCAAUUCUUAUCAAAUUAAUAAUUGCUUUAAGAAAAGGUAGUAGUUAAGCUAAACAACAAUUUAUGAAGCAUAAAUUAUUUAAUUCACCCUAUUGUUUCCUUAGGUUAUUAUCGAAAACUGGGAUCAUAAUCAAUAAAACCUAAUUGCUACUCAUGUUCAAUUUUGCACAACAAUUACAGAUUAUGAAGAUGAACUAGCAAUU